rnacentral:lncRNA from 1 species
CUAGGUACCAGGCUGUUAGUUUACCUGAGUUUAAACUAAGGUCAGGUUCUCUAAAAUGGAGUCUGAACUUAAAAGAUUUGGCCUCUCACAAACAGGUCACAGAGGACAUAGGGUCCCACUUGCUUUUCUCAGUGAGGAAAGCAGGACAGAGCCACCAAGAAGGAGGAAAAGGAAGAGGAGGAAGAAAAUGGAGCAGCGUGAGCUAGACUGGGUGAUUGAAGAAAAAGUACCAGGAGAAGUUACAACACAUACCGCUCACUAAGGAAUCACCCUCUCAUUAAGGCAUUUUGAGCCUCACUGAACAUGAAGCCAUCUUGCCCACUAAUGACUGCAGAACUGGAUGCUGCUGGAUUCCUUUAACACAGCUAUCUGGAGUCACAAUUCAGCCUGCAAGAAAAAAAAUUUCUUAUUUCUGGAAGAGGGAAACUGACUUACUAUUGACUGACUCCUAAUAUGCUCCGAAACCACAGGACUAGCGGACACACGUGCAAGCAUACCUAACUGUCUCUGAUGAAGCCAUACAAACCGUGUCAUGCCCUCCCAGGCCAGAGAUAUGGAUGAACAAAUGGGAGUGGACUCCGUGGCUGACUUCAUAAAUGCCCCGCCCCAAGCAGGGACAGUGAGUCUAAGAAAAGGUUGCCCAAGGCAAGGUGUUGAGCGGGAUGGCAGGUGGGCUGGCAAACAGCUGAUCAGAAACCUGGGGUAGGCAGCUCUCAGUAGUUCCUAGGAUCUAUUCCUACUUUAGUAGACAGACAGACAGACAGACAGACAGACAGACAGACAAGCCCCACCUUCACCUGAGAAAAGCUAGAAAUGGAGCAAGUCUUCAAAGUAUAGAAGCAUAGAUUGGUUUCUUUCUUUAUUUCUUUUUACCUGUGUGUGAGGGGGGAGUGUGUGUGUGUGUGUGUGUGUGUGUGUGUGUGUGUGUGUGUGUGUGUGAGAGAGAGAGAGAGAGAGAGAGAGAGAGAGAGAGAGAGAGAAAGUCCCUGCUCUCAUGGAUCUUUGACCAUCUGACCAGCCAUCAGGACACAGAUCAACUUUAGUUAGGGUGAUUCAAGAUUUAUAAAGUUAUGAGAGACUGAGGGAAGGAACACCCGUGAUGGGCAAAGGUCAUUGGCUGGGAGCUCAGGGUACCUGGGACACCUCAGCACAGAGAAGCAUUUCAGGAGUCUCAGGUGCUGGCUGAACAGGUUUUUGUCAGGAGAAAGGGAAUUGAUGCUUUAAUCUAACUAAGGCUAGGCAUGAAUUUUUUACACCCUACUCUAAUAAAGGUUCAACUUCCCCUCUAGCCCACCACCACCAGAGGUAGGAAAGAAUGGUUAUUAGGACCCAUGGGAAGUGGACCUGUUUAGAAAUGGUUCUUUGGAGCAAGUCCAAUCUUUGUUGUUCUUAGUCCAGCCCACUAGCAAACACCAAACACGAAUCAGCAGCCCAGUACACUCACAGACACCACAGGUGAGUCAGCAAGGGAGGGCAGCUCAAUCCAGAAGAACCUGGAUUGGUUUGCCAAUCUGCCCAGUCUGCAGACGUGGCAAGAAGCCGGAGGAUCCUCACAAGAAGCUUCUCUCUAUGAAGUCAUCACAAGUGAAGCUCAGCAACGCGGUGUAAGGCGAACCGAUACAUGCAUUCAUCAACGAAGACCAGCGAGCGAGGCAGAGCGAAACACCGCACGUCCUUUAUGUGUGUGCUAUAACAAAAUAUCCUCUCACCUGUGUGCCCUGGCAAAACAUCGUUUGAUAUAACUGACUUUCCAAAGAACCUGGAAGUUUCCACUUCAGGCAGAGACACAUGUGUGGGCUGAGAAUUCCCCAGACAAGGUCAGAGAAGGAGAAACCCCACCAACGAAGGGAGUCCCCCAUAUUGCACCGAACCCCAACAAGGUCAGAGAAGGAGAAACCCCACCAACGAAGGGAGUCCCCCAUAUUGCACCGAACCCAGAGGUAUCAGGAAAGACUGUAAGGUGGGGUGCUGUUAACUUCAGGGUACACUUUCUUGUUGUUGAGAUAAGAGUUCAAAAUCAUUGUGGCUGGUCUCUGGGACCUCCGUAUGUUACAUAUGACGUCAACAUCAAAAGCAACAAAGAAAAUAACAAACUGAACUUCCUAGCAAUUCAAUUUCUCUGUUUCAAAAAAAGACAUCAGCAAGAAAGUGAAAAGGACCAGAGAAUGUAGGGAAAACUCCAAAGUUCAUCUGGAAAGAAGUCCGUAUGUAGGAUAUGCAGUGAACUCUUAUUUCUCCGAAGUGAAAAAAGACAACUGAAGGUAAAACUGAGCCAAGACUUGAAAUGGAUAUUUCUCCAGAGAAGAUACACAAAUAGCCGAGAGUCACCGGAGAAAAAUACACUGCAUCAGUGGCCAUUAGGAAAACUAACUGGCAGGCCGAGGUGCUCUAUCCUCUUUAGCACCACAGGAACGCGUAGGAGCCAUAGCACUGCAGAAUACGAAGGAGUCGGAGCCUGCGCACUGAGGGACACGAAGGAGCGGGAGCCUGCGCACUCUGGGAAGGCUUGGAAAAUGAUGAGGUCACUUCCGGAGCACUCUGGCGGUCUCUCAAGAGACAAUAUCAAGUUAGCAUGACUUGGCGCUUCCUCCUCUGCUAUCUACCCAAGAGAAUUGCAACCACGUCUACACAAAGACUCACACAGCACUGUAUAUAGCUGAAGCCAAAAAGUGUAAACAUACACACUCCCAGUAACUCUAACUUGAAUGUGGCGUGUCCGCAUCGUAGAAUACUAUUUGACAAUUUAAAAAAAGCACAAAAUACUAGCAGUUACACGGGUGAACCUUGAGAACAUUAUUCCUAAUUUUUAAAGUCAGUUGCAGGAUAUGUUGCACUAUUCUAUUUUUAUAGAAACGCCUCUGAGAGAAUAAUUUACAGAGACAGAAAACGCUUCCGUGUUCUGGGUUGGCAGCUGGUAAGACAGGAGCUGGCUCUGGAGCAGCGUGAGGCCUCUGGAAUGGGGAAAAAAAUGUGUCCUAACAACUACUGAUGGUCGCACCGCUCUGAAUACAGUGAAAAAACGGGAUUUCAUAUUUUGUGGGUCCAUUUUAUGGGCUCUUUCUCAAUGAGACAGCCUUGGGGAGAAGAGGAAGAAAAGCGGAAGGAAGAGGAA